GAUUGAACGGGGAAUAAAUAAAGCCAAUUGAAAUAAAGGGUUUUACGUCCACGAGGUUCACUAAUGUUGAUCUCUUCCGAUUACAACAUGCCCUUUAUAUUCCUCUGGUUCUUUCCCAAAGUUAAUACUAUGAUGCUUUAAAUUUCUUUUCAUUUCCGCUAGUCAUUUCUCAUCGUUCCAAAAAUGCCACGAAGAAGAAAGUUUCUGUGGAAAACUCCAAAAUAUCCAAAUAGCCAUGAAAUUGCAAUUACAGAGACCACAGUAGGAGGACAUGAUAUAGCCUGUGUCGAUAGAAUUUCCAAUUUGCCAGUCAAAAUAAUCCGUGAAAUUUUUUUCCGGGUUCACCCGAAAGAUGCAGCCAGAGCUAGUGUUUGGUCCAAGAGAUGGCUAAGACUUUGGGCUUCCCUCUCAGAUAUUUAUUUAGAGAACGGUGAAAUUGGCAUGCUCUUUCUUCGAAUAACAGUUGAUAAAAACUCUUCUUGUGAAUUGCUGGUCAAAAAAUGGAUAAAUUUUGCCAUAGAAAACAAGGUUAAAGCGUUACAUCUUGCUAUAGAAGCGCUUACUUAUGAGGAGCCUUUCCACCUUUUCUCUUUAUCUGGUGUUACUUUUUUAUCUGCUACAUUAGUUGUUUUAAGUAUCAAAGAUUGUGAGAUUAGUUCAGACUCUAAUUUUAUGGUUCCUAAUCUAAGAUCACUCUUUCUAUAUGAUGUCUCGCCGGUGGGGUGAUGAUUUUGUAUUCGCAGAUUUCAUAGCCGGGUUCCCUCGAAUCGAGGAAUUAGUCAUAGAGCCUUAUCCAGAAUACUUGGGCACAAUAGUAGUUCCAAAUCCUACCUUAAAAUUUUUGAAGGUGGAAUACACUGCGUGUGAAUCCAAAUUACAAGUAAAGUCUAAAAAGCUGGAGUCUAUUGUAUUUUCAUAUUUAAGGCUUGAAGUGGAUAAGUACGAAUUCGAGAUGGCUUCUCCUACUACGGUCAAGAAUUUGACAUUGGAAAGGGUUUAUGCCCUAGAAAAGACAUUGAGUCCUUUUAUAAACAGAUUCCCUCAACUUGAGAACCUUGUGAUAGAUGGUUGUCGCCGUGAUGUUUUUUCUGGAGUUGAUAUGCUCCGCGAGCAUUUUGAAUUCCUUUUUGUUUCUCCAGCAUCUGGCGAAGUUUGUGCUGAAGUUAGAAAAAUUUGAUAGAGUUGACGAGAUAAUAUUACAGGCUCCUAACUUAAAAUCCUUGGGAGUACUAUGGUGGUCUUACUUCUUUUCGUGGAAUUAAAGCUUGUAAUGGGUUGGAAUUUGUUAAAUUCCAUUUAAGACUCAAAAUGCUUAAUGCUCGCUGGUAUAUUUGGUUAAGAAAUAUUUUGGAGUCUUUUGCUCAUUCCAAGCACUUGAGUUUGAUUUGCGAGAAUGAACAGGUAAACCCUUAAUUUCGUCUUUUUUUGUUUGCAAUGGAUCCGGUAAUGUACAACUUUUUUUACCCAACAUGUUUACCCAAAUCAGUAGAUAUAUAGUUUUUUUUGGCAAAUUAUAGCAUUUAAUCAUGGUUAUUUGAUAUGCAUUCUUUUCUCAUUAAACUAAUUAACGGACAUGGGUUGCUCUAGAUAGAUUGAGUACGUAUGUAUUUUUACUAUGUUGCGAACAAUACUACAUUUUUGUAAGUGUCUUUGGACAUGACCAUGGAUACGAUGACCAUGGAUAGGAUGGUGUGGAGGUUGAGAAUUAGGAUAGAGGAUUAGUAGUCGAGCUUUGUCUUUGUUUUGUUACAAUAGCUUUAGUACACCAUGUCUUUACGUGUUUUCGCCUUUCUGGACUUCUAUUAUUACUUGUUGUUUUUGCUUUGGUUUUAAUUGUACUAACUAGUGCUAGUUGUGUGUUUUUCGCUUGAUUUUACGAUUGGUUUGCUUGUCAUUGACCCUUUCCUUUAUCUUCCUUGAGCCGAGGGUCUACUGAAAACAACAUCUCUGCCUUUUUAAAGGAUAUCAUCUUUCCUGAUGAGCUAACUGAGACAUUACUUCCACCAAUCCAUGAUAUCAAGAAUCUGGAAUUGCAAAUUUAUUCAUCUACUGCAACUUCUCAAAAAAUUCUAGAUGGCUUUAUUUGGAUUCUUCCAGGUUUGAGAACUUUGUCAUUGACUUUCGGGUCCAUUGCAAAAAUCAUUGAGGUACUCAUAAACUCCAUUUGUUUUUUUCACUUACUUUUUUUCCCAUUUUUCUGGUUAAUCUUAGUUUGCUCGUCAUUUUUGGGCACAUUGAAUUAACCUUCAAAACUAACAUUGCUGCACCACAUGCAAAGAUUUGUUAAAAUACAAUGACUGGGUUGGAAUUACGUUUUGCUGCUCUUCUAUUAUUACUUACUCUCUAUGUAUUGUGCUUGACAAACUUCAUGUGUUUAUUAUUGCAAAAUACAGUUUCAGAGAGAGGAUGAUGUGGAGGUGAUUUUAGCCAGAGCAUUAGCCAGAGUAAAAAUUGGAUCGCAAGCAAAAACUAACAAACGAUGAUUAGAGAGAAUGUUUUUUUUAUAUUUUGAGAACUUUUUCGUGUUUUAAGCUCUGCUUUUGGAAGUAGAAGCACCAGGAAAAUUUUGUUCUCCGUUUAAAGACAUAGCUAAGCUGUAAGGCUUUGCUUGAUCAAUCACACUAUGCAAAAAUAUGCAGUUGCCAGUUGUUAAAUGUGCAUGUUGGAACUGUUGAGUUGUAUAGACUAUACUAUGAUGCACUUGUAACUAGUUGAGGGGCUAAAGUGUAAAUAGGAAAUAUGGAGUUAAUUGGAGUCGGUUAGAGUGUAGUGAUGUAGUCUAUGAGUGGGACCACUCACGUGUAAUACACUUACCGAAAAUAUAAGGCAUAAUAAUUUAAAUGA